rnacentral:rRNA from 1 species
CGGUACCAUAGGAGGAAGCCCCGGCUAACUACGUGCCAGCAGCCGCGGUAAUACGUAGGGGGCAAGCGUUAUCCGGAAUCACUGGGCGUAAAGGGUGCGUAGGUGGCUUAUCAAGCUAGGGGUGAAAGGCAUUGGCUCAACCAAUGUAAGCCUUUGGAACUGAUGGGCUUGAGUGCAGGAGAGGUAAGUGGAAUUCCUAGUGUAGAGGUGAAAUUCGUAGAUAUUAGGAGGAACACCAGUGGCGAAGCGGACUUACUGGACUGUAACUGACACUGAGGCACGAAAGCGUGGGGAGCAAACAGGAUUAGAUACCCUGGUAG